rnacentral:rRNA from 1 species
CGUGUAGGCGGCCAGGUAGGUCGGUUGUGAAAACUGGAGGCUCAACCUUCAGACGUCGACCGAAACCCCCUGGCUAGAGUCCGUAAGAGGAGAAUGGAAUUCCUGGUGUAGCGGUGAAAUGCGCAGAUAUCAGGAAGAACACCCGUGGCGAAAGCGGUUCUCUGGGACGGUACUGACGCUGAGACGCGAAAGCGUGGGGAGCGAACA